UUGAUUUUUUUUUUUUUCACUCAGACACGAACAAAAUUCAAGAUGCAAGAGUUAUGGCGUUCCCUCCGGCGGACCGCGCAGGGCAGACGUCCGCCGAAGCAACAAACACAGGUACUGGUUCACAGGGGGUUUGGGAGUUGCGAAAACUCGGUAAUGAUCCCUCCGCUGGUUCACCAACGGAGA
rnacentral:misc_RNA from 1 species